UCAAUACUUAUUUUCCCUCCAGCAGGUUCAACAAGGCGGAACAAUGCACCAAUUAAAGUUGUCUUGCCACUUCCUGUUCGACCAACUAUACCAAUCUUGUCUCCACCUUCAAACUUGCAAGUGAUACCAUGUAGUACAAGGGGUGCGUCUUCCCUGUACCUAAUCUGUCAAAUGAAAAUAAAUCACAUAAAAUUGUUAGAAUUUCUAAAGGGUUUCACCUGGUCAAGUGUACAUGUACAUGUUUAA
rnacentral:rRNA from 1 species